UACGUAGGGUGCGAGCGUUGUCCGGAAUUACUGGGCGUAAAGGGCGCGUAGGCGGUCUUGUAAGUCUUGUGUGAAAUCCCUCGCUUAACUGAGGAACUGCACGGGAUACUGCGAGACUUGAGAUCGGGAGAGGGAAGCGGAAUUCCGGGUGUAGCGGUGAAAUGCGUAGAUAUCCGGAGGAACACCGGUGGCGAAGGCGGCUUCCUGGACCGACACUGACGCUGAGGCGCGAAAGCUAGGGAGCAAACGGG
rnacentral:rRNA from 1 species